CCUCGGCUUGAGACACGGAAUACUACACAAAUACAUAGUAAAGCAUGAAACAAGAUGGCAUAACAUAAAUAUGACACCCACAAGUAAUAGAAAACGGAGAAAAGUAAACAGAUUCGUAAUAAAACAUGAAACAAGGUAUCAUAACAAGAAUAAUACCCCACCAAGUAAUUCCCUACAUUAGCAACCCAAACUGACCCUAACUUUCUGCCCUAAUUCGCAUCUUCCAGAUCUUCCUAUCUAGGGUCAUGUCCUCAGUGAGUUGUAACUGCUCCAUGUCCCGCCUAAUCACCUCUCUCCAGUACUUCUCCCUACACUAGCGACCCAAACUGGCCCUAGCCUUCUGCCCUAAUUCGCGUCCUCCAGAUCUUCCUAUCUAGAGUCAUGUCCUCAGUGAGCUGUAACUGCUCCAUGUCCCACCUAAUCACCUCUCCCCAGUACUACUUCUUCGGCCUACCCCUACCUCGCCAUCCAAAGCUAGCCUCUCACACCUACGAACCGGGGCAUCCAUGCCCCUCCUCAUCACGUGUCUGAACCAUCUCAAUCGAACUUCCCGCAUCUUAUUCUCCACUGG
rnacentral:lncRNA from 1 species